GGUCAGCCUCAAUGCCCUCGGGGGGGACGGUGGCUGGGGGUUGAGUUUAGUCAGGCGAGGUGGCUCUUCCCUUCUUGACGCCGCGGAAGCCCUUUCUUGCCCUAGUUCCGGUGCUCUGGCCCGCGGCAGCCAGCCUCCCUAGGAUUGCGGGUGCACUGUGCAGAGCCCUGGGCUGCCCGGGUUCCGGGAGGCUCUGGGGGUGGAGGUGGAACCCUGCCCCGGGGAGAAGGGGUCAUAAGAGAGCAGGCCCACCCGAGCCUGUGACAAAAGGGGUGGCGGGUCCUCCUGCCAUCACCACAGUGACCCAGCCCAGAAGACAGCAGCCAGCCGAGCAGCGCUGGCACUUUUAUUUUAAAACGAAUUCUGAUACAGCAAGUGGGGCCUUUGGUCUCUUUUUCUUCCUUUUCCGAAUUCCAAGAACUUUAAGAAGGAAAAGAACCAACAGAGGCUCUGGCUGAGCCAUUUCAAUAGAGCGUGAGGACAUUUCUAACUUGCAAAGCUUCGCCCUGCGCCCUAGUCCCAGCUGAGUGUUCCAGGGGCUGCGAGUGGUGUGGAUGCUCCGAUUAAGAUGCUGGAAUGAAAUGGUGGGGAAAUCAUUUCCGGCCCAAGCUCCUGGGUUCAUGAGAGUGUAUCCCUUCCUGUGGCUCCAUCAUCACGUGAAGAUUCUCUGUUUGACUCACUUGGUAACAAGGACAGAACUGGGUCCUCAGAGGGCCUUUUCCAGGUUUUAUUCCCUGAAUCGUUUAACUCCAGCUGGACCUCAAUGUUUGGAAAGGUCACAUCCUCACUGCCCUCCGGAGGCUGAGCAGAGUCCCCUUCCUGGGUUGCUGAGCGACGUGGCUGACAGGUGGUCCAAGACCUAGGGAGCCUCGCCCCGAGUCUUCUCUGGACCACGGCCGUAAGUCCUCCACGCAGGGCCCAGGGCGCCUUUUAUCAGCACAGGCCAGUGUGGGAGUUGUUCUGCUCUCAGGGCCAGUGGGGAUUCGAGGAGGACACUGGGAGGGUCACAGCACCGGUACCGGUCUGAGAAGGCUUUAGCUUGUGCUGGGUGUGCUGACGGGAGGCGGCCACUUUCAGGGCCUUAGUUUGGUUCUGGCAUCAGCGAAACUGGAAUGGCUUUGCUAAACAAGCUAGGGACCAUUACAUUUUUGUUGCUGUUUUGUUUUGGUUUUGUUUUUGUCUUUUUGCCUUUUUCUUUUUUUUUUUUUUUUUUUUUCUCUUUUGUC
rnacentral:lncRNA from 1 species